rnacentral:rRNA from 1 species
UACGAAGGGUGCAAGCGUUACUCGGAAUUACUGGGCGUAAAGCGUGCGUAGGUGGUUCGUUAAGUCUGAUGUGAAAGCCCUGGGCUCAACCUGGGAACUGCAUUGGAUACUGGCGAUCUGGAGUGCGGUAGAGGGUAGCGGAAUUCCCGGUGUAGCAGUGAAAUGCGUAGAUAUCGGGAGGAACAUCCGUGGCGAAGGCGGCUACCUGGACCAGCACUGACACUGAGGCACGAAAGCGUGGGGAGCAAACAGGAUUAGAUACC